CCCUUAGAUGUUCUGGGCUGCACGCGUGCUACAAUGGCGCUUGCAACAAGAUUGCCAACCCGAAAGGGUGAGCGGAUCUUUGAAGUGGCGUCGUGAUCGGGACAGUUGAUUGCAAUUAUUCGACUCGAACGAGGAAUUCCUUGUAAUCGCGAUUCAUCAUAUCGCGCUGAAUACGUCCCUGCCCUUUGUACACACCGCCCGUCGCUCCUACCGAUUGAGCGAUCCGGUGAAUGUUUUGGGCUGGUGUCCGCAAGCGUUUCGCUUCGGACGCUACGAAAUUUUGUAAACCUUAUCGCUUAGAGGAAGGAAAAGUCGUAACA
rnacentral:rRNA from 1 species